CUGGUCUCAAACUCCUGGCCUCAACUGAUCCACCCACCUCGGCCUCACAAAGUGCUGAGAUUACAGGCAUAGCCACCGAGCCAAGGAAUCAAUUUAAUUAAGUAAUUCUCCUGUUAUAUGCUUUCUUUUUUUUUUUUAAAGGAAAUAAUUCAGAAUGAAUUUCCAUCAAAAAUCAGUAUUUGGCUAAUUGUUAACUUCAAAAUCCAGUAAUACACUCACUUGCUGCCACCAGCCCGUACAUCAUGUCCUCCCAUGGCUCUGCUGCCCCGCUCCUCCACAGGUUGCAAUGGAAGAAGAGAUCGCCACGCUCGUCAUUGACAAUGGCUCUGGCAUGUGCAAAGCUGGCUUUGCUGGGGAUGGAUGGCCCCGGAGCUGUGUUCACCUCCAUCAUCUCCAUCAUCAGGCACCCCCCUGCACCAGGGGGUGAUGGUGGGCAUGGGCCAGAAGGACUCCUACAUGGGCCUCGAGGCCCAGAGCAAGCGCAACAUCCUGACCCUGAAGUACCCUAUCGAGCAUGGCAUCAUCACCAUCUGGGACGACAUGGAGAAGAUCUGGCACCACACCUUCUACAAUGAGCUGUGCAUGGCCCUAGAGAAGCACCCGGUGCUGCUGACCGAGGCCCCCCAAAUCCCAAGGCCAACAGAGACAAGAUGACUCAGAUGUUUGAGACCUUGAACACCCCAGCCAUGUAUGUGGCCAUCCAGGCUGUAUUGUCCCUCUAAGCCUCUGGGCGCAUCACUGGCAUUGUCAUAGACUCUGGAGACAGGGUCACCCACAUGGUGCCCAUCUACAAGGGCCAUGCCCUUCCCCCAUGCCAUCCUGCGUCUGGAUCUGGAUGGCUGGGACCUGACCAACUACUUCAUGGAGAUCCUCACUGAGCUUCACCAUCACGGCCAAGCAGGAGAUUGUGCGCGACAUCAACGAGAAGCUGUGCCACGUCGCCCUGGACUUCGAGCAGGAGAUGGACACUGCCACAUCCUCCUCCUCCUCCCUGGAGAAGAGCUACGAGCUGCCUGACGGCCAGGUCAGGUCAUCACCAUCGGCAACAAGUGGUUCUGGUGUCUGCAGGCACUGUUCCAGCCUUCCUUCUUGGGCAUGGAAUCCUGCAGCAUCCACAAGACCACCUUCAACUCCAUCAUGAAGUAUGACGUGGACAUCCACAAAGACCUGUACGCCAACACAGUGCUGUCUGGCAGCACCACCAUGUACCCUGGCAUCACCGCCCUGGCAUCCAGCACCAUGAAGAUCAAGAUCAUCAUGCCCCCACAGCACAAGUACUCGGUGUAGAUCGGUGGUUCCAUCCUGGCCUCACUGUCCACCUUCUAGCAGAUGUGGAUUAGCAAUUAGCUAUGUAUGACGAGUCUGGCCCCUCCAUCGUCCACUGCAAAUGCCUCUAAAUGGACUGCAAGCAGAUGUUCAGCGUUUGCUGCAUGGGUUAAUUCAGGAGUAUAAAUUUGCCCCUGGCAAAUGCAUAAACCUCAUGCCAGCCUCACAAAACUGGAAUAAGCCUUCAAAAAGAAAUUUGUGGCCAGGUGUGGUGGCCCAUGCCUGUGAUCCCAGCACUUUGGGAGGCCUAGACGGGUGGAUCACAA